rnacentral:rRNA from 1 species
CAGUCGAGCGGUAGAGAGAAGCUUGCUUCUCUUGAGAGCGGCGGACGGGUGAGUAAUGCCUAGGAAUCUGCCUAGUGGUGGGGGAUAACGUUCGGAAACGGACGCUAAUACCGCAUACGUCCUACGGGAGAAAGCGGGGGACCUUCGGGCCUCGCGCCAUUAGAUGAGCCUAGGUCGGAUUAGCUAGUUGGUGAGGUAAUGGCUCACCAAGGCGACGAUCCGUAACUGGUCUGAGAGGAUGAUCAGUCACACUGGAACUGAGACACGGUCCAGACUCCUACGGGAGGCAGCAGUGGGGAAUAUUGGACAAUGGGCGAAAGCCUGAUCCAGCCAUGCCGCGUGUGUGAAGAAGGUCUUCGGAUUGUAAAGCACUUUAAGUUGGGAGGAAGGGUAGUAACUUAAUACGUUGCUACUUUGACGUUACCGACAGAAUAAGCACCGGCUAACUUCGUGCCAGCAGCCGCGGUAAUACGAAGGGUGCAAGCGUUAAUCGGAAUUACUGGGCGUAAAGCGCGCGUAGGUGGUUCAGUAAGUUGGAAGUGAAAUCCCCGGGCUCAACCUGGGAACUGCUUUCAAAACUGCUGAGCUAGAGUACGGUAGAGGGUGGUGGAAUUUCCUGUGUAGCGGUGAAAUGCGUAGAUAUAGGAAGGAACACCAGUGGCGAAGGCGACCACCUGGACUGAUACUGACACUGAGGUGCGAAAGCGUGGGGAGCAAACAGGAUUAGAUACCCUGGUAGUCCACGCCGUANACGAUGUCAACUAGCCGUUGGGAGUCUUGAACUCUUAGUGGCGCAGCUAACGCAUUAAGUUGACCGCCUGGGGAGUACGGCCGCAAGGUUAAAACUCAAAUGAAUUGACGGGGGCCCGCACAAGCGGUGGAGCAUG